AGUGAACGCUGGCGGUAGGCCUAACACAUGCAAGUCGAACGGCAGCACAGUAAGAGCUUGCUCUUACGGGUGGCGAGUGGCGGACGGGUGAGGAAUACAUCGGAAUCUACUUUUUCGUGGGGGAUUACGUAGGGAAACUUACGCUAAUACCGCAUACGACCUACGGGUGGAAGCAGGGGAUCUUCGGACCUUGCGCGACUGAAUGAGCCGAUGUCGGAUUAGCUUGUUGGCGGGGUAAAGGCCCACCAAGGCGACGAUCCGUAGCUGGUCUGAGAGGAUGAUCAGCCACACUGGAACUGAGACACGGUCCAGACUCCUACGGGAGGCAGCAGUGGGGAAUAUUGGACAAUGGGCGCAAGCCUGAUCCAGCCAUACCGCGUGGGUGAAGAAGGCCUUCGGGUUGUAAAGCCCUUUUGUUGGGAAAGAAAAGCAGCAGGUUAAUACCCCGCUGUUCUGACGGUACCCAAAGAAUAAGCACCGGCUAACUUCGUG
rnacentral:rRNA from 1 species